GCCUCGGUAGUGUUGUAGAUAAGCAUGGCAGACCGAAUAUCUGUAGGUACGGGUUUGAAUCCUGCCUGAGGUU
rnacentral:tRNA from 1 species